rnacentral:snoRNA from 1 species
GCCGAGGCUAGAGUCACAUCCUGACAUGGUACUUGUCCUGGUGUGCUACAGUUCUCGAAGAGAAUCUACUGGUCUUGAUUCAUUGGCAGGGGCCUUCAGUGUCCCUUCUAGUACCCAGAUCAGAAACAUGG